rnacentral:rRNA from 1 species
UACGUAGGGGGCUAGCGUUGUCCGGAAUCAUUGGGCGUAAAGAGCGUGUAGGCGGUCCGGUAAGUCCGCUGUGAAAGUCGGGGGCUCAACCCUCGAAUGCCGGUGGAUACUGUCGGGCUAGAGUACGGAAGAGGCGAGUGGAAUUCCUGGUGUAGCGGUGAAAUGCGCAGAUAUCAGGAGGAACACCGGUGGCGAAGGCGCUCAUCUGGCCCAAUACUGACGCUGAGGCGCGAAAGCUAGGGGAGCAAACGGG